ACAUCAAUCAGAAACUUAUCAUCACUUGUGUACACUUGAGGAUAUUUUUCACGAAAAGCACGGAUGGCAGCUUCAGUGCAUAGUGCCUUUAAAUCAGCACCACAAUACCCCACACAAUUAGCUGCAAGUUCCGAUUUUAGUUCCUUUGAAGGAGGUUGCUUCCAUUUUCGAGUGUGAAUGUCAAGUAUUUCAGCACGUGCCUCACAACCAGGCAAAGGAAAGUUAAAUUCACGAUCAAACCGACCAGGGCGACGCAAGGCUCCAUCAAUGGCAUCAACUCUGUUGGUUGCUCCAAUCAAAACAACUUGUCCACGAGAAUCUAGACCAUCCAUCAACGCAAGCAAAGUGGAAACAAUAGAAUUGUGUAUUUGCUCCUGUUUGCUUGACCUCACAGGAGCAAGUCCAUCUAUUUCAUCAAAAAA
rnacentral:misc_RNA from 1 species